UUUUUGAUACACUGAUUCCUAAGCCAAUUACCCAAAGGUACUUUAACUUGUUGAUGGAGCACCACAGAAUUAUCCUCUCAGGACCAAGCGGGACGGGAAAGACCUAUUUAGCAAACAAACUUGCUGAAUAUGUCAUAACAAAAUCUGGAAGGAAAAAGACAGAAGAUGCCAUUGCUACCUUUAAUGUGGACCACAAGUCAAGUAAGGUAAGUCACAGAUACUAAGAAAACAACCCUCAUUUACCCAGAAAUAUCUUUAGCAAUUAGGGUUUAAAAUGUUGUGCAUUUUCACACUUGAAAAAAAAAUCGAUGUUGUUCACUAAAAUUAUAAUCUAGUAGGUGAAGAAACUUUGCUUUAACUAAUAUGCAUACAAAGGCUGCUUUUACAAACAGUCACUUACCAUGUACUUGGAAAGGCACUGGGAUUAUACAGAAUCAGAUGCUGAUUUCCCUUAAACAUACUUUUACAAGAUGCUAGACAAAGGGGGCAGCUAUUAUUUAUGGUGCUAUGGAAACAAGAGAGUUACAUGACUCCACAGGCUGAGCCAGGCUCUAUAAGAAAACAAGAGUUGGUUUAUGCAUCAAGAAAUGGACAUAAAUUAACUGGGGCAUUGCAGAAAUCGGAUUGAUUUGGGAUCAGCUGUAAUAGCUGCAGAAAGUCUGGAAAAGCAGCAGUUUGCUUAUAUCAUGUCUCCAGAGAACUUCUGCUUGAGAAGUUGGCGACAGUGAAGAAUAUUGCAGUGGGCCACAGUUCUAACAUGCCUUGCUAAUCCAACCAGUCUACAUUGUCAUGUGAGGCUAGAAAAAUCUCACCAGCACUUUCUAUGAUACUUACUUGAAUAAGAAUCAAGUGGUGGCUAAUGUGUUCAUAACACUGCACUAAUUUUACCACUUGUAGAUAUUAAAAUCUCAGCUACUUCUACCUGAGCACUCUUGGGAAAGUGCAUCUUGUCAUAACCAUUAUGUUGAUAGAGUCCUAGUGAGAGAGAGAGUCAUACCAUAGUUUCAAAAUGACCUAGUUGGAUGAUGUCAACUUGACAAGCCUUUCUGUGUGUUGGUCAAUUAUUGUCACUGUAUGUAAUGAAACAGCCGUGAGAAACUUAGAGCAAGGGAAGAGUUAUUCUUUCCUACACUUUCUUGAGAGCUCAGUCCGUGGUCAUCUGGGCCCAUUGGUGAAAUGGUGGUGUAGAACAUCACAGACACCAGAGGACAUAGUGAAAUGGAGAUGUCCAGCAUGGUAACUAGAAGUCAGAGAGAAAGAAAAGGGAUGUUUUCAGAAUCAUAGGGCUAUGCUUUAAAGAGAUGUCUCAAGGACACUCUUCCAUCAGAGCCUCCCUUUGAGUCUCCCACCUGGUAUCAACACCUCAGCAGAUGCAUCAGUUGAUGGUAUUAGCAGUCCCUGGAUAGAGUCAGUUCCUUGAAGCCUGCCCAUUAGCAUUUAACUGCAUAAUGAGUGAAGCCUUUGAGGAGUCAUAGAACAUAAUAUCUGAGAUUUGCACAUUUGCAGAAGUACCACCACUGCUCUCAAAGUCAUUGGGUUCUUCAAAUACCCCAAACGUGGAACUAAAUGAACAGAGCCAUCUCAGACGGUUCAUUAAGUACUGGGGGGAUUAGGAUCUAUUACUGAAUUCCUUUAUACCUUCAUUUUGAUUUCGAAACUUUAAAGUGAAGAAAAUUGUGGGGCUGUGGUAAGAAGUCAAAGAAAAUCUGUGUGGGUUUCUUUUUUUUUGUUUUGUUUUAUUUGGGUUAUGACACUAGGCAUAUAUAUGUUAGCACACAUACCUAAAGUAUACUUAUUAAUUAUUAAUUAUAGCCCUUUUUCCAAUGAAGAUUUUGUGCACAAGUACGUACCCUCUCCCCAACAACACACAUAAACUUUGUUUCAAAAUUAUUCCCAAAUUAUACAUACAGUACAAUGGGGUGUCUUAAACUCAAACAUUCAAACACACACAGCCUUUAAAUCCUGGAUAUUUUCUUGGAAUUCAGCAUUAUUCGAAUUGUGGUUACCUCACUUUUUAUUGCUGCUCUGCUGAGUGACGUAGAAACUGAGCUGGAAAACCUGAGUCUUCUCUGAGCUGAAGGAGAAGGAGAUGGUUGCUCAUUUGUUCCUAUCUGCAUGUUUAAUGUCUCCUGUGAUCUUCCUUCUUUAUAUCUUCACAUGAAAGCCUUGUAGUUGCUGCACUUUCCUUUCCAGCCAAAAGAUAAAAGGACCCAGAGGUCUCUUGGGUACACCCUAUGCUCUCUUUGGCUUUUCCUCAAUGUUGACAUGCCAGAAGUCCACACAAGUUCUUUGUUUUUGAAAAAUAAAACAAAGGUGGGUAGGGGGGAAGUGGUUAGAAAAUAAGGAGAAAGGAUUCAGAAGAGGAGAUAAAAGCAUUUUGAUGAAGUGUGGGAGUAUUUUGUAUAUGAUUGGAAUCAAAUUUACCAACUCUAAAAUUAAAUGGGAUGCAUUUUGACAAUGUAAAAUAUAGUUGGUCAAUAUCUGUAAUGAAAUGUUCUCCUUUGAAAGAUCUAUGUGUUUAUAUAUAAUCUUUUCAGUUUCAAUUAUUUUUUUAAAUAGUACUUGGAGAAAUUUUUAAUAAUGGUCAUUAAAUUUCUACCUACAUAUUUUAAUGCUCUUUUUGCUUUCAGAAGUGCAAAGGCAUUAUGAGAUCAGUUCAUAUUUUCUUACAGCUAAGUGGUCAGGGGUGGGAUUUUUCAGGAGUAUUUAAGUAGAACAUGAUUCUAGGAAGUAGUGAUGGGAAGAAACUCUUAAAUAAAUGACGGAGCACUAAUCUAGAAAACGCAAAAUUCAAGUGAAAGAUGUUGAUUUUUCUCCCUCAGUUUUUCACGGAUGAAUGAUCUGUCAUUCAGGAUGCUUGCAGAAGUCGGACAAGAGAAUAUGCCUUAUUAUUUUGAAGUUUAAAGCAAAUACACAAAGUCAUUUAGGGAGUUGUUUAGAGGAGAGGUUUUACGUGGGAGGGUGAUGUAAAUGAAGAAGGAAUAUCAAGUGAAGAUUGUGCUAUGGGUAGCAAUAAGGAAUAUAGAACUUUCUAAAAGAAAUUGCUAAUGAGGCAUAAAAUAAUAAGUCUUUUGCUAUAAAAAAAUAGAGAGCCAUAUAAUUGCUGCUUGGUUUUAUGCUAUGGCAUUACAACGCAGAGGACAUGUGGCCAGCAAUCAAUUACU
rnacentral:lncRNA from 1 species